AAUACGGAGGGUGCAAGCGUUGCUCGGAAUUACUGGGCGUAAAGCGCACGCAGGCGGCUUGUUAAGUCGGGUGUGAAAGCCCUGGGCUCAACCCAGGAACUGCAUUCGAAACUGGCAAGCUUGAGUUCGGGAGAGGGUGGUGGAAUUCCUGGUGUAGAGGUGAAAUUCGUUGAUAUCAGGAGGAACACCGGCGGCGAAGGCGGCCACCUGGCCCGAUACUGACGCUCAUGUGCGAAAGCGUGGGGAGCAAACAGGAUUAGAAACCCGAGUAGUCC
rnacentral:rRNA from 1 species